rnacentral:rRNA from 1 species
GACUAACGCUGGCGGCGUGCUUAAUACAUGCAAGUCAACGACUUUUAGAGUAGCAAUAUUUUAAAGGAAGUGGCGCACGGUGAGUAACACGUAGGUAAUCUGCCUUCAGGACUGACACAACUCGUCGAAAGACGGGCUAAUAUCAGAUAAUGCAGCGGCUCCGCAUGGAGACAGUUGUUAAAGUACAAGCGCCUGAAGAUGAGCCUGCGGUCCAUUAGCUAGUUGGUAGAGUAACAGCCUACCAAGGCAACGAUGGAUAGCUGGUCUGAGAGGAUGAUCAGCCACACUGGAACUGAGACACGGUCCAGACUCCUACGGGAGGCAGCAGUAAGGAAUAUUGCUCAAUGGCCGAAAGGCUGAAGCAGCAACGCCGCGUGAAGGAUGAAUGGCCUUUGGCCUGUAAACUUCGGUAAAAAGGGAAAACAGUACAGGUAUAUCCUGAUUUGAUUGUACCUUUGAAGUAAGCCCGGCUAACUACGUGCCAGCAG